rnacentral:rRNA from 1 species
UACGUAGGGUGCGAGCGUUGUCCGGAAUUAUUGGGCGUAAAGGGCUCGUAGGCGGUUUGUCGCGUCGGGAGUGAAAUCCACUGGCUUAACUGGUGGCUUGCUUUCGAUACGGGCAGACUGGAGGUAUGCAGGGGAGAACGGAAUUCCUGGUGUAGCGGUGAAAUGCGCAGAUAUCAGGAGGAACACCGGUGGCGAAGGCGGAUCUCUGGGCCUUACCUGACACUGAGGAGCGAAAGCGUGGGGAGCGAACAGG